CUCAAUGAAAUAUUCAAUAGCCGCAAAUACAUUUGUGCUAAGGUAGCAUAAUCAUUUGUUUUUUAAUUAAAAACUAGAACGAAAGAUUUAACAUUUUUACUUCUUUAUUUAACAUAAUAAUUAAAUUUAUCUUAAAUAUAAAAAGAUAUUUAUAUUUAAAAAAGACGACAAGACCCUAUUGAAUUUUACUAAAGUUAAACUGGGGUAGUUAAUCAAAUAUAAUUUUAAUUAAAAUUUCUAAAAAACCUAAUAUAAUUAUUCAUCAAAUUACCAUAGGGAUAACAGCGUAAUAAUUUUCCAAAGAUCUUAUUCCAAAAAUUGUUUACGACCUCGAUGUUGAAUUAAUAAUCUAUUAAAUGCAAUAAUUUAAUAAGAAAGUC
rnacentral:rRNA from 1 species